rnacentral:rRNA from 1 species
CCUACGGGAGGCAGCAGUUAGGAAUAUUGGUCAAUGGACGAGAGUCUGAACCAGCCAAGUAGCGUGAAGGAUGACUGCCCUAUGGGUUGUAAACUUCUUUUAUAUUGGAAUAAAAUGUUCCACGUGUGGGCUUUUGUAUGUACCAUAUGAAUAAGGAUCGGCUAACUCCGUGCCAGCAGCCGCGGUAAUACGGAGGAUCCGAGCGUUAUCCGGAUUUAUUGGGUUUAAAGGGAGCGUAGGUGGUUUGUUAAGUCAGUUGUGAAAGUUUGCGGCUCAACCGUAAAAUUGCAGUUGAAACUGGCAGUCUUGAGUACAGUAGAGGUGGGCGGAAUUCGUGGUGUAGCGGUGAAAUGCUUAGAUAUCACGAAGAACUCCGAUUGCGAAGGCAGCUUACUAGACUGCAACUGACAUUGAGGCUCGAAAGUGUGGGUAUCAAACAGGAUUAGAUACCCGGGUAGUC